rnacentral:rRNA from 1 species
CGCAACCCUUGUCCUUAGUUACCAGCACGUUAUGGUGGGCGACUCUAAGGAGGACUGCCGGUGGACAAACCGGAGGAAGGUGGGGAUGACGUCAAGUCAUCAUGGCCCUUACGGCCUGGGCUACACACGUGCUACAAUGGUCGGUACAAAGGGUUGCCAAGCCGCGAGGUGGAGCUAAUCCCAUAAAACCGAUCGUAGUCCGGAUCGCAGUCUGCAACUCGACUGCGUGAAGUCGGAAUCGCUAGUAAUCGUGAAUCAGAAUGUCACGGUGAAUACGUUCCCGGGCCUU